rnacentral:rRNA from 1 species
GACAGAGGUGUCAAGCGUUGCUCGGAAUUACUGGGCGUAAAGAGCGUUCAGGUGGCAUUGUAAGCCAGGUGUGAAAUCCCUUGGCUAACCAAGGAACUGCGCUUGGGACUGCAGUACUAGAGGACGGGAGAGGAGAGUGGAAUUUCCGGUGUAGCGGUGAAAUGCGUAGAUAUCGGAAGGAACACCCGUGGCGAAGGCGGCUCUCUGGCUCGAUCCUGACACUGAUACGCGAAAGCUAGGGGAGCAAACGGGAUUAGAAACCC